rnacentral:lncRNA from 1 species
GAUGACUGAUGCAUAGGUAUUGUUAGCACUUUAUAUUCUUUAUGACUUUCUAUUGAUAUGCUAUAUGUGUACAACUAUUUUUUUUAUUAUCAUAUAUUUUUGAUAUUUUCUUAAUAUACUUUUUUUUGUGAACCAUAGUAAGGGGUAAGAAGACUUAUUGUUCAUCAGCUAGAGGAGGCCAAAUAGGCAAAAGAGUGAUGUGUAAUUCAGAGGGGAUUAAUAGAUAUCUGAGGCAGUCAGAAGGUGUGGAGGUAGAUCCAUCGCCACCUCCAACACACCCUACACCACCAGAGGUGCCACAC